UAGGAAACCUUUAUUGUCACCAUUAGAGAUAAAAAUAUCGGAGUCCCACACACCACACCCCACGAGGAGGAUAACUGAAGAAGGGUUACUGAUUGUCACAGAAGCCCAGGCAUAGGGCUGAACAUCCGUCCUCGGUCACCCCCAGCUUCCAGCCACCCCCUCCCUUGCACGGGCAGCAGGCAGCAGGUCAGUGGCAGAGGGCGAUGGUCUCCAUGUUGAGGAAACGAAUGUGCAUCUUGGUCUCGAUGUCGAUGCCCUGCCAGAUCUUCAGGAAGUCCUCAAAGGUGAUCCCCUCGUACACCUGGUCCGGUUCCAUCUGCCCCACGCACACGCUGGCCGCCUCCAUCAUGGCCCCGUCUGCAAUGGACCGAGCCGACUCCUUUUCAAUGUGAGGGUUUCCCGAGAGCAGCUCCUCCACCACAUUUCUAUACUCUUCCAGGGUGAUGCGGUCAUACAUAUGAAACAGAAAUUUCAGCUUCUCCUUUCGUGACAGCUCCACCUGUUCCUCGCCCAGGGUGGUGUCGAUGGGCCGGAAGUAGGACAUGAUAGUCAGGAAGUCCUCAAAGUUGAUCUCAUCGGCCAGACCGCUGGAUCCCUUUCGCAGGUGAAGAAGGCACGGACGAUUUUGGAUCGGAUCGGGUUGAGCUCCAGGUCAGGGACAUUGUUGAAGUUCUCCUUGCGAAUGGUGGGCUGGUCCCCGCUUAGCUGCUUGAACCUCCGAUGCAGCUGCUCUAUCUGGUCCGAGGAGAAGCCGGUCUUGCCCUCGAGCUCCCGCACCUCCUCGGACGCCGAGUGGGCAGC
rnacentral:lncRNA from 1 species